UACGGGGGGGGCAAGCGUUGUUCGGAAUUACUGGGCGUAAAGGGCGCGUAGGCGGCUUGGCAAGUGGAUGGUGAAAUCCCUCGGCUUAACCGAGGAACUGCCGUCCAAACUGCUUCGCUUGAGACCGGGAGAGGUGAGUGGAAUUCCCAGUGUAGCGGUGAAAUGCGUAGAUAUUGGGAGGAACACCAGUGGCGAAGGCGGCUCACUGGACCGGUACUGACGCUGAUGCGCGAAAGCGUGGGGAGCAAACGGG
rnacentral:rRNA from 1 species